rnacentral:rRNA from 1 species
GGUCAAGUGAUUAAGCGUACACGGUGGAUGCCUUGGCAAUCAGAGGCGAUGAAGGACGUGGUAAUCUGCGAAAAGUCUCGGGGAGCUGAUAAACAAGCGUUAAUCCGAGAAUAUCCGAAUGGGGAAACCCACCUGUCAUAAGGCAGGUAUCCUGAGCUGAAUACAUAGGCUCAUGGAGGCGAACCCGGGGAACUGAAACAUCUAAGUACCCGGAGGAAAAGAAAUCAACCGAGAUUCCCUAUUUAGUGGCGAGCGAACGGGGAACAGCCCUUAAGUGUUGUGGACGUUAGUGGAAGGCUCUGGAAAGUGCCGCCAUAGUGGGUGAUAGCCCCGUACACGAAAACCAAACAGCAUGAAAUCGAGUAGGUCGGGACACGAGAAAUCUUUGACUGAAUAUGGGGGGACCAUCCUCCAAGGCUAAAUACUCCUGAUUGACCGAUAGUGAACCAGUACCGUGAGGGAAAGGCGAAAAGAACCCCUGUGAGGGGAGUGAAAUAGAACCUGAAACCGUGUACGUACAAGCAGUGGGAGCCUCCUUGUGGGGUGACUGCGUACCUUUUGUAUAAUGGGUCAGCGACUUACAUUUUGUGGCGAGGUUAACCGUAUAGGGGAGCCGUAGGGAAACCGAGUCUUAACUGGGCGUCCAGUCGCAAGGUGUAGACCCGAAACCGAGUGAUCUAGCCAUGGGCAGGUUGAAGAUUGAGUAACAUCAAUUGGAGGACCGAACCGACUAACGUUGAAAAGUUAGCGGAUGACCUGUGGCUGGGGGUGAAAGGCCAAUCAAACUCGGAGAUAGCUGGUUCUCCUCGAAAGCUAUUUAGGUAGCGCCUCGGACGAAUACCACUGGGGGUAGAGCACUGUUAAGGCUAGGGGGUCAUCCCGACUUACCAACCCUUUGCAAACUCCGAAUACCAGUGAGUACUAUCCGGGAGACACACGGCGGGUGCUAACGUCCGUCGUGGAAAGGGAAACAACCCAGACCGUCAGCUAAGGUCCCAAAAUCUAUGUUAAGUGGGAAACGAUGUGGGAAGGCUCAGACAGCUAGGAGGUUGGCUUAGAAGCAGCCAUCCUUUAAAGAAAGCGUAAUAGCUCACUAGUCGAGUCGGCCUGCGCGGAAGAUAUAACGGGGCUCAAACAUAGUACCGAAGCUACGGACUUGCCUUUGGCAAGUGGUAGAGGAGCGUUCUGUAAGCCGUUGAAGGUGUGUUGAGAAGCAUGCUGGAGGUAUCAGAAGUGCGAAUGCUGACAUGAGUAACGAUAAUGCGGGUGAAAAACCCGCACGCCGAAAGAUCAAGGGUUCCUGUCCAACGUUAAUCGGGGCAGGGUGAGUCGGCCCCUAAGGCGAGGCUGAGAAGCGUAGUCGAUGGGAAACCGGUUAAUAUUCCGGUACUUCAAUACAGUGCGAAGGGGGGACGGAGAAGGCUAGGUUAGCCACGCGUUGGUUGUCGUGGUUCAAGCUUGUAGGCUGAAGAAUUAGGUAAAUCCGGUUCUUCGUAAGGCUGAGAGGUGAUGACGGUGGUUCUACGGAGCCCGAAGUAAUUGAUGCCCUGCUUCCAGGAAAAGCCUCUAAGCUCCAGCUGUAUUGGAACCGUACUCUAAACCGACACAGGUGAUCAGGUAGAGAAUACCAAGGCGCUUGAGAGAACUCGGGUGAAGGAACUAGGCAAAAUGGUGCCGUAACUUCGGGAGAAGGCACGCCGGCCUUGGUGAUGGGACUUGCUCCUUAAGCUGAGGCUGGUCGAAGAUACCAGGCCCCUGCGACUGUUUACUUAAAACACAGCACUCUGCUAACACGAAAGUGGACGUAUAGGGUGUGACACCUGCCCGGUGCCGGAAGGUUAAUUGAUGGGGUUAGCGUAAGCGAAGCUCUUGAUCGAAGCCCCGGUAAACGGCGGCCGUAACUAUAACGGUCCUAAGGUAGCGAAAUUCCUUGUCGGGUAAGUUCCGACCUGCACGAAUGGUGUAACGAUGGGGGCGCUGUCUCCACCCGAGACUCAGUGAAAUUGAAAUCGCUGUUAAGAUGCAGUGUAUCCGCGGCUAGACGGAAAGACCCCGUGAACCUUUACUAUAGCUUCACACUGGACUUUGAAUGUAUUUGUGUAGGAUAGGUGGGAGGCUUUGAAGCAGUGACGCCAGUUGCUGUGGAGCCAACCUUGAAAUACCACCCUGAUACCUUUGAGGUUCUAACGCGGGCCCCUAUACGGGGUUGCGGACCGUGUGUGGUGGGUAGUUUGACUGGGGCGGUCUCCUCCCAAAGAGUAACGGAGGAGCACGAAGGUUGGCUAAUCCUGGUCGGAAAUCAGGAGGUUAGUGUAAUGGCACAAGCCAGCUUGACUGCGAGACAGACAAGUCGAGCAGGUACGAAAGUAGGUCAUAGUGAUCCGGUGGUUCUGUAUGGAAGGGCCAUCGCUCAACGGAUAAAAGGUACUCCGGGGAUAACAGGCUGAUACCGCCCAAGAGUUCACAUCGACGGCGGUGUUUGGCACCUCGAUGUCGGCUCAUCACAUCCUGGGGCUGAAGCCGGUCCCAAGGGUAUGGCUGUUCGCCAUUUAAAGUGGUACGCGAGCUGGGUUUAGAACGUCGUGAGACAGUUCGGUCCCUAUCUGCCGUGGACGUUGGAAAAUUGAGAAGAGCUGCUCCUAGUACGAGAGGACCGGAGUGGACGAACCUCUGGUGUUCGGGUUGUCAUGCCAAUGGCAUUGCCCGGUAGCUACGUUCGGACGGGAUAACCGCUGAAAGCAUCUAAGCGGGAAGCCCCCUUCAAGAUAAGUUUUCCCUGAGACUUCGAGUCUCCUAAAGGGCCCAGUAAGACUAACUGGUUGAUAGGCAGGGUGUGUAAGCGUUGUGAGGCGUUGAGCUAACCUGUACUAAUUGCCCGUGAGGCUUGGCCAUAUAAC